rnacentral:rRNA from 1 species
AUUGAACGCUGGCGGCAUGCUUCACACAUGCAAGUCGAACGGUAACAGGCCGCAAGGUGCUGACGAGUGGCGAACGGGUGAGUAAUGCAUCGGAACGUGCCCAGUCGUGGGGGAUAACGCAGCGAAAGCUGUGCUAAUACCGCAUACGAUCGAUGGAUGAAAGCGGGGGACCGUAAGGCCUCGCGCGAUUGGAGCGGCCGAUGUCAGAUUAGCUAGUUGGUGGGGUAAAGGCCCACCAAGGCGACGAUCUGUAGCUGGUCUGAGAGGACGACCAGCCACACUGGGACUGAGACACGGCCCAGACUCCUACGGGAGGCAGCAGUGGGGAAUUUUGGACAAUGGGCGCAAGCCUGAUCCAGCAAUGCCGCGUGCAGGAAGAAGGCCUUCGGGUUGUAAACUGCUUUUGUACGGAACGAAACGGCCUGGGUUAAUACCCUGGGCUAAUGACGGUACCGUAGAAUAAGCACCGGCUAACUACGUGCCAGCAGCCGCUGUAACAC